GAUGAACGCUGGCGGCGUGCCUAAUACAUGCAAGUCGAGCGAACAGACGAGGAGCUUGCUCCUCUGACGUUAGCGGCGGACGGGUGAGUAACACGUGGAUAACCUACCUAUAAGACUGGGAUAACUUCGGGAAACCGGAGCUAAUACCGGAUAAUAUAUUGAACCGCAUGGUUCAAUAGUGAAAGACGGUUUUGCUGUCACUUAUAGAUGGAUCCGCGCCGCAUUAGCUAGUUGGUAAGGUAACGGCUUACCAAGGCAACGAUGCGUAGCCGACCUGAGAGGGUGAUCGGCCACCCUGGAACUGAGACACGGUCCAGACUCCUACGGGAGGCAGCAGUAGGGAAUCUUCAGCAAUGGGCGAAAGCCUGACGGAGCAACGCCGCGUGAGUGAUGAAGGUCUUCGGAUCGUAAAACUCUGUUAUUAGGGAAGAACAAAUGUGUAAGUAACUAUGCACGUCUUGACGGUACCUAAUCAGAAAGCCACGGCUAACUACGUG
rnacentral:rRNA from 1 species